UACGGAGGGUGCAAGCGUUAUCCGGAUUCACUGGGCUUAAAGGGCGCGUAGGCGGACGGUCAAGUCAGGGGUGAAAUCUUUCAGCUCAACUGGAAAAGUGCCUCUGAUACUGAUCGUCUCGAGGGAGGUAGGGGCAGUGUGGAACUUCCGGUGGAGCGGUGAAAUGCGUAGAUAUCGGAAGGAACGCCGGUGGCGAAAGCGACGUGCUGGACCCUUUCUGACGCUGAGGCGCGAAAGCCAGGGGAGCAAACGGG
rnacentral:rRNA from 1 species